GGGCACAUGGUGUAGUUGGUUAUCACGCCCGCUUAGCAUUAGUGCUUCCUGCGGGCGGUCCCCGGUUCAAUUCCGGGUGUGUCCA
rnacentral:tRNA from 1 species